GUCCUGGUAGCUCAGUGGUAGAGCACUACACUCUUUAUCGUAGAGGAGGUCCGUUCGAUUCGGACCCGGGGCU
rnacentral:tRNA from 1 species